rnacentral:tRNA from 1 species
GCCUCCGUAGCUCAGGUGGAUAGAGCGGCGGUUUCCUAACCCGUAGGUCAGAGGUUCGAGUCCUCUCGGGGGCA